rfam:Beta vulgaris subsp. vulgaris 0533.scaffold01098.con0007.1, whole genome shotgun sequence.
CGGUGCGAAAAUACCGAUACUAAUGCACCGGAUCCCAAUAGAACUUCGCAGUGAAGCGUGUUUGGAGAGUAGUAGUAGGAUGCGUGACCUCCUAGGAAGUCCUCGUGUUGCACCCG